rnacentral:rRNA from 1 species
CGGGACGGGUGAGUAAUGUCUGGGAAACUGCCUGAUGGAGGGGGAUAACUACUGGAAACGGUAGCUAAUACCGCAUAACGUCGCAAGACCAAAGAGGGGGACCUUCGGGCCUCUUGCCAUCGGAUGUGCCCAGAUGGGAUUAGCUAGUAGGUGGGGUAACGGCUCACCUAGGUGACGAUCCCUAGCUGGUCUGAGAGGAUGACCAGCCACACUGGAACUGAGACACGGUCCAG